rnacentral:rRNA from 1 species
UACAGAGGGUGCAAGCGUUAAUCGGAAUUACUGGGCGUAAAGGGAGCGUAGGUGGCUCUAUAAGUCAGAUGUGAAAUCCCCGGGCUUAACCUGGGAACUGCAUCUGAAACUGUAGAGCUAGAGUAUGUGAGAGGAAGGUAGAAUUCCAGGUGUAGCGGUGAAAUGCGUAGAGAUCUGGAGGAAUACCGAUGGCGAAGGCAGCCUUCUGGCAUAAUACUGACACUGAGGCUCGAAAGCGUGGGUAGCAAAC